UUCCGGUUGAUCCCGCCGGAGGUCACUGCUAUCGGGGUUCGAUUAAGCCAUGCGAGUCGAGAGGGUUCGGCCCUCGGCGUACUGCUCAGUAACACGUGGAUAACCUGCCCUAGGGAAGGGGAUAAUCCCGGGAAACUGGGGAUAAUACCCUAUAGGUUACAGAUGCUGGAAUGCUCUGUAAUCAAAAGUUCCGGCGCCCUAGGAUGGAUCUGCGGCCGAUUAGGUUGUUGUUGGGGUAAUGGCCCAACAAGCCAGUAAUCGGUACGGGUUGUGGGAGCAAGAGCCCGGAGUUGGAUUCUGAGACAUGAAUCCAGGCCCUACGGGGCGCAGCAGGCGCGAAAACUUUACAAUGCGGGAAACCGUGAUAAGGGAACACCGAGUGCCGGCAUCAUAUGUUGGCUGUCCAGAUGUGUAAACUACAUCUGUUAGCAAGGGCCGGGCAAGACCGGUGCCAGCCGCCGCGGUAACACCGGCGGCCCGAGUGGUGACCGUUAUUAUUGGGUCUAAAGGGUCCGUAGCCGGUUUGGUCAGUCCUCCGGGAAAUCUGAUAGCUUAACUGUUAGGCUUUCGGGGGAUACUGCCAGGCUUGGAACCGGGAGAGGUAAGAGGUACUACAGGGGUAGGAGUGAAAUCUUGUAAUCCCUGUGAGACCA
rnacentral:rRNA from 1 species